rnacentral:lncRNA from 10 species
UACAGGGAGUCAAUGGGACAGACAAGCUUUCUACUGGAAACUGGCUCCAGAAGAAAUGUUAAGAUUACCUAGAAGUAGUCAACUGGUGAUGAAGGAGGAGGAGAAUAAUGCUACAUUAGUAUAGAUGUGCAGUACUGAGAUAAUGAACGGGUUACUAUCUGGGGCAAAAGCUGAAAGGAUACAGAAAGAUGAAAAUCAUGAGGAAGAGUUGAACACAAAACCGAGAGACAGUCAAAGAGCAUAGCCAGUUCCAGCACCACAGCCAUCUAGUUCUCUAUAUCUGGACAAGGUCUCAUUCUGUCACCUAGGCUGGAAAUGCACUGGUGCAAUCACAGUUCACUGCAUCCUCAAGCAAUCCUCCCACCUCAGCCUCCCAGGUAGCUGGGACCACAGGUGCGUACCAUCACACCUGGUUAAUAUUUUAUUAUUUGUAGAGAUGGAGUCCUGCUAUGUUGCCCAGGGUGGUCUCAAACUCCUGGGCUCAAGCAAUCCUCCUGCCUUGGCCUCCCAAAAUGCUGGGAUUACAGGCAUGAGCCACUGUGCCCAAUCUAUCUAUCUUAUCUAUCUUAUCUUAUCUUAUCUUAUCUAUCUAUCUAUCUACCUACCUACCUACCUACCUACCUAC